AACUUGAGAGUUUGAUCCUGGCUCAGAACGAACGCUGGCGGCAGGCUUAACACAUGCAAGUCGAGCGCCCCGCAAGGGGAGCGGCAGACGGGUGAGUAACGCGUGGGAAUCUACCCAUCUCUACGGAACAACUCCGGGAAACUGGAGCUAAUACCGUAUACGUCCUUCGGGAGAAAGAUUUAUCGGAGAUGGAUGAGCCCGCGUUGGAUUAGCUAGUUGGUGGGGUAAUGGCCUACCAAGGCGACGAUCCAUAGCUGGUCUGAGAGGAUGAUCAGCCACAUUGGGACUGAGACACGGCCCAAACUCCUACGGGAGGCAGCAGUGGGGAAUAUUGGACAAUGGGCGAAAGCCUGAUCCAGCCAUGCCGCGUG
rnacentral:rRNA from 1 species